GCGGCGCAGGCGGCGCCCGGAUCUUUUCCGCCGCCAUUUUCUGCUGCGAGCGGGUCUCCGCUGUCUCCGCCGCCCGCCCGAGCAGGUCCGCCGCUCUCGCCCCGCCAUGGAGGACGCGACUGAGAUGAGCAGCGGCCAGGAGGAGUUCGCCGAGGGCUCCAAGAUCAACGCGAGCAAGAACCAGCAGGAUGACGGGAAAAUGUUUAUUGGAGGUCUCAGCUGGGACACGAGCAAGAAAGAUUUGACAGAGUAUCUUUCUCGUUUUGGCGAGGUUGUGGAUUGUACGAUUAAAACGGACCCGGUCACUGGAAGGUCGAGGGGAUUUGGGUUUGUCCUCUUCAAGGAUGCUGCCAGUGUGGAGAAGGUGUUGGAACUGAAGGAACACAAACUGGAUGGGAAGUUAAUAGAUCCUAAAAGGGCAAAAGCCUUAAAAGGGAAGGAGCCACCAAAAAAAGUGUUUGUUGGUGGGUUGAGUCCAGAGACAUCUGAGGAACAGAUAAAGGAGUACUUUGGUGCUUUUGGCGAGAUUGAAAACAUUGAGCUUCCCAUGGACACAAAGACAAAUGAAAGGAGAGGCUUCUGUUUUAUCACGUACACAGAUGAAGAGCCAGUAAAGAAGCUGCUAGAGAGCAGAUACCAUCAAAUUGGUUCAGGCAAGUGUGAGAUCAAAGUAGCACAGCCCAAAGAGGUAUACAGGCAACAGCAGCAGCAGCAGAAAGGAGGAAAGAGCAAUACAGCUGGUGGACGAGGAGGUGGAAGGGGGCGUGGACGAGGUCAGGGACAAAACUGGAAUCAAGGAUUUAAUAACUACUACGAUCAAGGAUAUGGGAACUAUAAUAGUGCUUACAGUGAUCAAAGCUACAGUGGCUAUGGAGGCUAUGACUACUCCGGGUACAACUAUCCCAAUUAUGGAUAUGGGCCAGGAUACACAGAUUACAGUGGUCAGCAAAGCGCAUACGGAAAGGCAUCCCGUGGUGGCGGCAAUCACCAAAACAACUACCAGCCGUACUGAAGCAGUGUUUAGUACUUGAGGAAACAGCGGGAACUUCAUUGCAGGCCGUGUGUCACCCUGACCACGUCUAUCUCUGGGGUCGCACGUUGCAGGCAGAGCGCAAGGCAUACACCAGAAAACGCUGUCCUGUGGUAGAGAUACUGCAACAAAGCCAUCGUGCAGCGCAUCGUGAGUGAAUAGAGGGUGUUCUUCGUGAGAGGAAAUGACUAUUUUGUAAAAGACUUUUAGUGUCCGACACACAACUGUGUCCAACUGUACAUAGUGGCCAGCUAGUUUUCUUUUAUGAUUUUUAUUUUCCUUUUGCCAUUCAUGUCAUGACACAAUGUGGGCUUGUGUUUAUACAAACUUUUAUUUGUAUAAUUUCAUGUUAAAGGGUUCUCUAAUAAAUGCUUACUUAAGUGA